rnacentral:rRNA from 1 species
AGUGAACGCUGGCGGUAGGCCUAACACAUGCAAGUCGAACGGCAGCACAGUAAGAGCUUGCUCUUACGGGUGGCGAGUGGCGGACGGGUGAGGGAUACAUCGGAAUCUACUUUUUCGUGGGGGAUAACGUAGGGAAACUUACGCUAAUACCGCAUACGACCUACGGGUGAAAGCAGGGGAUCUUCGGACCUUGCGCGAUUGAAUGAGCCGAUAUCGGAUUAGCUAGUUGGCGGGGUAAAGGCCCACCAAGGCGACGAUCCGUAGCUGGUCUGAGAGGAUGAUCAGCCACACUGGAACUGAGACACGGUCCAGACUCCUACGGGAGGCAGCAGUGGGGAAUAUUGGACAAUGGGCGCAAGCCUGAUCCAGCCAUACCGCGUGGGUGAAGAAGGCCUUCGGGUUGUAAAGCCCUUUUGUUGGGAAAGAAAAGCAGCAGGUUAAUACCCCGCUGUUCUGACGGUACCCAAAGGAUAAGCACCGGCUAACUUCGUG